AAAAUUAACGGCACUUGAUUUGGAGUUUCAUAGCUCCAGUUAUAAAUGAUUUAGUGACUGUUGUUCAGGAAGACAGCUUGCAGUGAGAUUAUGAUUAUGUGGCAGUUCAUGUGUGGAUCUCGUCAGGAUAUCGUCGCAAAUAGGAAAUCCCCAACCAUAGUGGGCUUGGAGCUGUGAGGGAAUUCGGAGUGGCCACCCGUUCUGAAUGUUUGGUUUUCUUCUGGUGAAUUGGGCAUCCUAUUAUUUACAUUGAGGUUUGGGUUUUUAAAUGUAAUAAGGCCGCUUAAUUAUUUUUGAUGGUUUUAAUAUGUAUUACUAAGAUAGGUAUUACUUAUUUUAACUGUUGAAAUUGGAUAGCUUUAGGGCGCGUUUUCAAAAAAGAAAAAAAAA